GUAGAAGGAGGCAGAUGGUGUGCUCUGUCUCCGAGCCGUCGUAGAAAACACACAGGUUCGAACAUCGACAGAGGGGAACACCCAACAUGCUCACCCCAAAGACAACACAAAAGACUGAUUAGACGGAUCUGGGAGCUGCAGCCUGAGGCCAGCGAUUCACCCGGACUUCACCGCACCUGCACUUAACCGGCAUCACUGUAUCCAGCACCACACCUGCACCCCAGCACGCACUGUCCGGAGACGUGUCUGUGUUUGUGUUGUGUUUGUGUUUUUGGAAUUAUUAUUUCGGGACUGCAACCCCUUGUUUUGGCGCUGGCAAUACCCAUUGCUGGGUAGAGCCAGUUUUAUCAU